UGACCAGCUGGUUGUUUUUGUUUACUAUUUUGAUUUUUCAAAUUUUAAUCAGUGGCAAAGAAUAAAUAUCAUUUGCGUGGUUAGUGGAGGAAUCGACGUGUGUUAUUGGUCUUUUCUCAGUUAAGUGUUAGAAAGUUUUUUAAAACAUGGAUGAUAAUGAUCUGGAAACAAUUUCAGCGUGUACUUGGGAGAAAAUGAAAAGAAGCAUGUGUGGGGCAGGUUUCCGGGAAGGUGCGUCAGCUGGUUGGGACUUGGCAUUCCAGAGUGGUUUUGACAGCGGCUAUGCACAAGGUUAUAACGAUGGGUUUCUCCUUGGUGUACUAAAAGGAAUUCUGAGUGUGCAUGGACCCGAAUUUGGCAGUGACGCGCCGAAGAGCGAUGUCUCGUUUACUGAGAACAUAUUGAAGAAGUGUUCAGCGGGCAUGUGUCAGCGGUGUGCAGACAGUGGAACCACCUGUGAAGACUUCACACAACUUACCAACAGUCAGCAAGUGUUGUCUCAGACUGUGUUGAAUGAUCUAGCUGUAAAAUAUUCAAGCAUUUUGAAAGAACAUGACAUAGAUUUUAACAAAUGAAUAAGUUGGCUACUGUUUUGUUUGGUUCCCAUUGUCUUCAACUUUUCAAUAAGUAGUCCUACCUCCUAAUCAUAUUUAUGAGGCAUAGUGGUGUGCCACUAUUCAGCAUUUUCUGGGUAUAUGCUCAAUAUCAUAUUGUGUUUUUGUAUUUAAAGGCAAACUGAAGAGCUGCUUCAUUUUUUUAUCAUUUAUAUUUACAAAUAUAUUUGUUACGCUAGACAAAAUAAUAUAACUGUUAUGGUGGAUUGUUUGUAAUCUUUUGUUUUGGACUGUUCUAUACAGUGGUGACUCUUUGGUCACCUCUAAAUUCCGAGCAAUUUGCUGUCUCAGCCUUCUUCAUGUCUUGGCUGCCAUAAUGAACAUUUUCUAGUUGUAGCUUCUGCUCUGUCACAAAAUUAUGAAGUGAUUCAAGUGCAUCUAACCACCUGAAGGGGUGAGUUAUUUCACGAUUCCUUUGAGAAUCGAGUUUAAAGUAUUAUUUUCAUGAUCCAUUUAUUAUUUAUGGACUUGCCACAUCUUUUGUUUAGCGGUGGGCGUCCUGGUGUGACGGAGCCGUGUCUGAAAUGAAUACCUGAUUAUCUACUAGGAGUGGAUUUCCCUCCUCUCUCCUACGGCCUCAGGAUGUGCACCAGAUAAGAUUUACUCUUGUGUUCUCCGCAUGCAGCAUGCAUUCUUCGGACAAUUAAAUUUCUCUUUUGAUCCAUUAACCUGCCAAAAUUAAAAUCAGGACAUAACAUAAAUGAUUAAUUGUCUUGUACCAUAAUUAAUUCUUUUCUUGAUUUAAACUAGUGGGGGCCCCAGAGAUAAACUUAUUAUCAAUUACGAGAUUUACUAAUACUCAUGUCACAUGUGUUAAGAGUUUAUAUUUAUUUCUGUAAUUUUGUUUUGUUAAUUAUACAUAUUUAUAAAAGAACAAAAGUAAAGUGUAAUAUGGCUGCCCUCUGAAAAAUGUC